CUACGGGUCGCUCCAGUGAGGAAUAUUGCACAAUGGGGGGAACCCUGAUGCAGCAACGCCGCGUGGAGGAUGACGCAUUUCGGUGUGUAAACUCCUUUUAUAUGUCAAGAAAAUGACGGUAGCAUAUGAAUAAGCACCGGCUAACUCCGUGCCAGCAGCCGCGGUAAUACGGAGGGUGCAAGCGUUACUCGGAAUCACUGGGCGUAAAGGACGCGUAGGCGGGCUUGUAAGUCAGGUGUGAAAUCCUACAGCUUAACUGUAGAACUGCACUUGAAACUACGAGCCUAGAGUAUGGGAGGGGGAGAUGGAAUUAGUGGUGUAGGGGUAAAAUCCGUAGAUAUCACUAGGAAUACCUAAAGCGAAGGCGAUCUCCUGGAACAUAACUGACGCUAAGGCGUGAAAGCGUGGGGAGCAAACAGGAUUAGAUACCCCGGUAGUC
rnacentral:rRNA from 1 species